rnacentral:rRNA from 1 species
UGGGGAAUAUUGCACAAUGGGCGCAAGCCUGAUGCAGCGACGCCGCGUGAGGGAUGACGGCCUUCGGGUUGUAAACCUCUUUCACCAGGGACGAAGCGCAAGUGACGGUACCUGGAGAAGAAGCACCGGCCAACUACGUGCCAGCAGCCGCGGUAAUACGUAGGGUGCGAGCGUUGUCCGGAAUUACUGGGCGUAAAGAGCUCGUAGGUGGUUUGUCGCGUUGUUCGUGAAAACUCACAACUCAAUUGUGGGCGUGCGGGCGAUACGGGCAGACUAGAGUACUGCAGGGGAGACUAGGAAUUCCUGGUGUAGCGGUGGAAUGCGCAGAUAUCAGGAGGAACACCGGUGGCGAAGGCGGGUCUCUGGGCAGUAACUGACGCUGAGGAGCGAAAGCGUGGGGAGCGAACAGGAUUAGAUACCCUGGUAGUCCACGCCGUAAACGGUGGGUACUAGGUGUGGGUUCCUUCCUUGGGAUCCGUGCCGUAGCUAACGCAUUAAGUACCCCGCCUGGGGAGUACGGCCGCAAGGCUAAAACUUAAUGAAUUGACGGGGUCAUAGCUGUUUCCU